GGACAUGAGGGUGAUCUGGCUGCAACAUGUCACUCCAUUGAUCACCAGGGUUGAUUUGGCUGAUCUGGCUGGCGAGGCAGGUGUCCCCUUCCUCCCUCUCUGUUCUAUGUGUGUCCCUCCUGAAGCUGCAUGCUUGGUCCAAGAGAGUGACCAUCCCUGAUAGAGGACGACCAUUCUUCCGUCAAGGGUUUAUGUACGAGUAGCUGCACUCCCUGCUAGAACUUCCAAACAAGCUCUCAAAGAUAAGAAAAAUGAAGUCCUCCCCAAGUGGGAAUGCUCUUUCUAAGGUAUGACUAUGAUUA
rnacentral:snRNA from 1 species